rnacentral:rRNA from 1 species
UACGGAGGGUGCGAGCGUUGUCCAGAAUCACUGGGCGUAAAGGGCGCGUAGGUGGCGCGGGCAGUCAACGGUGAAAGUUCGGGGCUCAACCCUGAAUCGGCCGUCGGUACUCCCGGGCUGGAGCACUGUAGAGGCUAAUGGAAUUCCGGGUGUAGCGGUGGAAUGCGUAGAGAUCCGGAAGAACACCGGUGGCGAAGGCGGUUAGCUGGGCAGUUGCUGGACACUGAG